rnacentral:lncRNA from 1 species
CAAUAAUUGUCAGCCUCAACUGUUCAACAUGUCACCACAGAUUACUAUGCAACCUCCAGCGGUUCAUGGACGAAAACGAGCGGUACUCUGUGGAAUAACCUACCGUGGGCAUUCCAAGAGUCUGAAAGGAAGCAUUAACGACGUUUUAUCCAUGAGAUAUCUUCUGGUUCAGAAGUUGGGUUUCCCCAAUGCAUCUGUACUUGUCCUUACAGGUAUCUCCUACAGUUCAAAAGGGACAACUCGGUGCACAAAGCAUCAUGCAUUCACGCAGGGUCAAGGGAAAGGCCGCACCUCCAAGGGUGUGAUGUAGACAGCCUAACCUAAUGCAAGCAUUAGUGGUUGCUUCCACGGCUCGAACCCGUGACCUAUUAAUCAUACGGAGACAACUUUACCGUUGUUCCAAGGCUCCUCUUCAUCUGCUACAGUUCAUGUCUAGAACAUAAAUGCUUAUGUUACUACUCCCUCCACUCCCAUGAUAUUGUUUCCUAUAUUCUUCAUUCUUUCUUUAUCAGAUAUGAUCAGAUUUCUAACAUAUAAUACAUAAAAUGUUGCAGAGGAUGAGAAAGAUCCAUACAAAAUCCCAACCAAGGGCAAUAUCAGAUCAGCCCUACGUUGGCUUGUUCAUGGUUGUCAGCCAGGAGAUUCACUAGUGUUCCACUACUCUGGCCAUGGCACACGAGUAAGAGACCGUGAUGGCGAUGAGGUUGAUGGGAAUGAUGAAUCACUAUGCCCUGUUGAUUUUGAGACUGAAGGAAGAAUACUAGAUGAUGAGAUUAAUAAUACCAUUGUUAGGCCUUUACCCUGUGGAGCCACACUUCAUGGCAUAAUUGAUACUUGCUUCAGUGGAACUUUCCUGGAUUUGCCGUUCAUGUGCAGAAUAAACAGGUUAUUGAAUUCCCCUUUUAAUGCUUUAUGCAACGAAACUUUAUAUUGAGUUAUCGUAAAAGUACUAUGUCUAAAUGUUUUCAAGCAGGGCGGGACACUUCAUGUGGGAAGACCAUCGUAUCAGCACAUACAAAGGUACUAGAGGAGGAACAGCAAUCUCUAUCAGUGCCUGUGAUGAUCAUCAAAAUUCUGGAGAUACAACAGUUAGUAUUCGUAUAUACAAAUAGCACACUUACCGAACCUAGUAGCUUUUUUCAAACCAUGUAUUUGUCCUAAGAAAUACAUUAAAUAUGUACAAAUUAUUAAUUUAGAACCUAGUAACUUAAAAGGAAUAUAAUCCCCAACGCAUAAGGUUCAAAUCCUGGCUCUGCCUCUGUUAACACUAAAUGCUCUAAGCAAAUUAAAGAGACUCCUGCUAAACAACUAAUGUAAGUAUACUAACACGAUUGAGCCGUUAUCAUAACUAGUUUGAAUUGCCUGUAUAGGUCUUUUAUUUCUAUUGUGUUCUGCUAUAUACUAAAACACAAUUAUUUCGAGAGAUUAUAGAUAUGUUCACCUCUAACACCUUCAAUCAUCAAACUGUCGCACCUUGGAUUUCUGCAGGCUUUCACAGGCUUUCCGACAGGUGCCCUGACAUAUAGUUUCAUCAAAACAUUGGAGCAAGAGACCAAAUUGACUUACGGACGCUUACUUAUGAGUAUGCACAAUAAGAUUCAUGAAGCACAGAAAGGAGUAGGCAUGAAUGGUGCAAAUGAAACUCAGGUACGCUUUUAUGAUAUUGUCAAAAAAAAGUCAGUGCAGCAUUGCAUCACCAUCGUCUAAUGCAUUUUAUUGGUCUUGCCCAGGAGCCUCAAUUAUCCGCGUCUGAGCAGUUUGAUAUUCACUCGAAGAUGGUGGCUUUGUAGGAACUUAAAAUAUCCAACUCCAGCAAGAGUACAACUUCCCUGGCAUAAUCUUGUUAUAAUAAAUCUCAGAACUUCUUUUACCAUAUUUGGUUAAGUACUGUGUGACUAAGGCUUCAGUUGCGUAUAGAUUCACUCUUAUACUAAUGUUUGGAAGUGAAUCAUUGUCAUAUAUUUUCCUAUAAACUUUAAUAAUAUUAAAAUAAAGCCCCUAAGAUGUGUUAUUGUCUUGUUAUUUACUGGCCCCUGUCAAAGUGAGCUUUUGGCAGUAGACCUGUAAGCCAAGUUUGAUCAAGUCUGACUCUCAAGCGUAUUAAAUGGCAGUCAGCACACAAUUUUUUGCAGCCUUUCAGAUAAUAUCAAGAGACAUCUCAAGCACAAGCUUUUAACAGAAAGCAGAUUCUUAGAUAAAUGAGAAUAAGUUUGCGAUAAAAUGAUAAGAGCAGCAAAAGAAUCUACGUACAUCAUAGGUUAUGGAUUAGAAGUCAUUUUGAAUCUUGAAACCAGCUUCUCUCAUGAGGAAGUAAGACUGUCUAUAUUCGCCUUUCCCUGAGCCCGCCUGGCACUGAGGUCCUCCGUUAUUCUUUAUCCCCUCCUCUUUUAAAUGAAACACAAAUUUCUUCCUCUCUUAAAGUCAAUAAAAAUAGAUUCUCCUGCACUCUUCCUAGUUUGGUUAGCUUACGAAUCUUUUAUGCAAUUGGCAUUCCUCUUGCAGAUGAGUCUCAUCUAUAUCAAAAACAUUUUUGGCCUUGGAUGGUGCAAUUAUUAUUUUGAAUUGGUAAAGAUUCUGCAACGAAAACUAGUUAAACUCACAAAAGUGUCCAAAUGUAUUGCGACUCAUUAAAAGUGAAAUGCAGAUUUGCGUCCCUUAAGGCUGCAUUCAAAUUCAUACUGACUAUAUAUCAGAUAGUUGGGAUAGCUCUAGCAGCAUGUAAAGGAGAUCAACUACACAUAGACAAUUAAAAGAACUUCUCAUUCACAAGGUCGAAUUGUGCUUAUUCAUAAGACGAAAACCUAAGUUGAAAUCUCAAAGUUACAUGAUUGAUCAACCAAGCAUACUAUGCAGAAAGAAUUCAUUUGACAAGUUCAUGCAACUAGUAUUCAAAAAUAUGUUUGCCAUCCAUGAGCUCCUCAAUCUCUUAUGCUAGUAAUCCAUAAAUAUUACUCUGUAUAAUCUAGUGGAGGCCAUUGGCCGAGAAGCACUUUGAUAAGAUGAUAAAAUCCAGUUUUAAGUUCCAAUUAAUCCAGCUAACCCCUCCUGCAAGGCCAAAAUAAAGAAACCGGAGCAGACAGGGGAAAAGAAAUCUAUCGACUAUAGCAUUUGGACAUCAAGACAAACUUUUGUUUUGUUAAAUAUCGCAAGAUCACAUGAAGAGAGAACGAUACAUCUAGAAGGACUAGAUGAUGCUCAAACUAGUGCACAUUAAUCAAUCCAGAUUAACGAAGACGUAGACCACAUAUUCAUUUUCUUAGUGGCUGCCAAUAUUAAUUUUCUACAACCAAGGACGAAACAAGAUCAUUAAAGAAGAUUAUUUUCUCUUAAUGUAACAAUUCCUCAGGCAACGUGAUAUACAUAAAUUGUCUAGCGAAAUUCGGAUUCUCGAAAAUAUUAAUUCUUCGUGAUAACACUAAGAUGAUUCUUUGACUACAGAAGUAGUGAAUUAAUGCCCAUCCCACGAAAAAUUAGCAUAUAUUCCAUUCUUUACAUGCAACCAGCAAGCUGGCAUUCUAUGUUGUUCCAAUAUCCUAAAAAGAAAGAUACAACACGGUUGAGGUAUACUCCCUCCAUUUCAAUUUGUUUGAAUCUUUUUGGAGUACAAGGGGCCAAAUUGACUAAUUUUCUAUAUGAAUUGGGCUGUAGAUUCUUUAAGUUUUUGAAAUAAAAUUUACGUAUCUAGAAAUUACAUAAAAGGUACUAAAAGUCAUAGAAACUUUAUUUUGUUCUGAAUUUCUAUUCUAGUAGGACUCUCUUUCUUGAACAAAGGGAAAAAGAGGAUUAAAUAUCCUUCAUAUGCCUUAUCCUUUUUUUGAAAAGAAGUCUUACACUUUUAUAAAUUGAGGAUUUCUGAUUCUCAAAACAAUAACAAUAAUAGCAUCCAAAAUGUAGUUAUAAAGAGUCUUGUUUAGGGUAGAUUUUUUUCUCAAAUCUCAAGGUUCUGAAAGAAUAUAAAACUCAAUCAUGAUAAAGGAUCAUACCUUUCAGAAUAUAAAAGAUAGAAUCUACUAUGCCGAAAGACGCAAAAUAGAUUGAUUCUUGUUUCUCCAUCACCACAUCUGGAAGAGAAUAAAAAGCUUUAUACAAAGAAUAAUAAGGAGAUAAACUAAUGAGUAAAGUCGUAGAUUAGUUCUCUUGGAAGUGCUUAAUUAGAGUGCGUUUGGCCAAGCCGCCAAAAUAUGCUUAUUUUGAAAUUGUACUUUUUUCGGGAAAUAUUUUUUCAAAAGUACUUUUGGAAAAAAAUAGUUUGUGUUUGGCUAAUUCAAUUAAGAAGUACUUUUUACAAUAUUUGAUAAAUAAAUUAUAUUUGGCCAAUCUUUUUAAAAGUAUUUUUGAGUGUCAAAUUACCAAAAAGAAUAGUACCAAUGUUUUAUAAUUCUUUUAAAGAGAAAAAUAAACUCAAAUAUUAUAAUAAGAUACUUUUAUUAUUUUUUAUUUUAUUUAAUUAAAUUAUAAAACAUAAAGUAAACAAACAUAUUAAAGAUUUAAAUCAAUUUUACAUAUAUAGUUAUACCAAAGCAUAUAUUAUUAUCUAGUAUAAUUAAUUAUUGUUACAUGAUGAUUUGAAUAAUCAAAAUACACCAUUUAGUAUGAAUUAGAAGUCUAUUCCAUAAAUUACUAUAUAUUGAUAAUCUAGUAUGAAAUAAUAAGUAAAGUCACACACACAUAAUAAUAUUUCUCAAUAAUUUCAUCUCUACGUCUAUCACACAACGCCUCCAUAUUAGUAGAAGACUUCCCUUGUAUUUCUAAAGGAAUAUCGGAAGGCCCAACUCCGUCCUCAAUCUCUGCAGUAAUGUCUUCCAUUAGUAUAAUAAUUGAAUUCCUUAUCCGUAAAAGAAUGUCGUCGGAUAAAAUUAUGUAUAGCCAUGAUAAUUGUAAUUAGAUGAUUCUGAGUGUCAAAUUUGAAAGAUGGCAUUGAGCGUAAAAUAGAAAUAAUUUUAAAUAUAUAAAAAUAAAGUUUUUUGUAAAAAAAAAAUAGUUUAAGUAUGUUUAAAUUCAAAUCAAAAAGAGUAACUAAUUAUUAACAACACAUAAUGUAUAAUUUAAUUUUUUUAAAAAAUUUAAAUUAAGAAAAAAACUAAUUAGUAUUACCUAACCUUACUAACUUUGUCCUAAAUUGCCAAGUGGCCUAUUGUCAGGCUGCCACUUGGCUUAAUGUGUGUUGCGUUUUAUUCUUCUUUUAAUAAUAUAUAAAUAGAUUAUAUGAUGCAAUUGUGAAUUUAUUACCUAUUUGUAUGGUAAUUUUCACAAAUUAGAUUUGAUAAUUGUUUUAAAGAUUCGGGAACUAAUAACAUAUAACAAAAGAAAUUAUAAAUGAUUAUUUGUAGGAAGAGAAUUGAUAAUCCAAAUAAAGAUGUAGAUAAUUUGCUUUAGUGUGAAAAAAUAAGAAGAUAAUUUGGAAAGUUACAAGACAUUACACCAAAAAAAAUUCAAAAACAAGAAAAGCCAAUAAAGAAUUUAGAAAGUUACAAUAUGAUUCAUGUAUAUGAUAUCUUUAAUUUUAAAAAAAUGAUAAAAACUAGAAACAAAAAUGAAAAGAAAAAACUUAAAUUAGUAAGGGAUAAUUUUGAAAAUAUAAAUUUAUGGUGAGGGUAGUUUUGUCUUGAAUAAAUUAAUUUUCCACUUGUGCUUCUUGGAAGAAGCUAGAAUUUUCUGCUUCUUCCCAAAAGCGGAAAAAUUGCUUCUGCUGCUGGCCAAAAGUACUUCUCUGUAUUUGUCAAACAGCUUAAAUUUUUAAAAAAUAUUUUUUUGGAGGAAAAAAGUACUUUUGGCCUCCCAAAAGCCUGGCCAAACAGGCUCUUAUUAUAGGUUAAGUUUCAUGAUAGUCAUCCAACUUUCAUUUUAUUGCAUUUAAGUCAUAAACUAAUAUUUGAAAUGAAAAAGUAACUCAAUUAUGUCUAUAUACAUCACAAAAAUAAUUAUAAAACAAAAGCCAAAAAAUAAGGGAAACACAAGUAGGCUGCCCACUUUUUCAUAUGACACCACUUUAAAAAAAAUAAAAGAAUCGAAUAUUAGGUUGUGUUAGAAAAUAAGUUUCUUUUUCAUUUUUUAAAUAAUAUCAAGUGAAUAUUACAUAUAGUGAGUUGCUGAAAUAGUUAUACUUAACAUGGCUAUUUUGUAAAUACAGCAGCCUAGUGUGUCUUUCGAGACUAAAUUUAGCAUUAAUUUCGGACAUUUUUAUUUUCUGUAACAUAUAAGCAUAAUUGAGUUACUUUUUCAUUACAGAAAAUUAGUUUUUGGAUGCCGUGAAACUACGCCAAAUUUAUAUGCCUCCUAUAUAUAUAUAUAUAUCUUGAUCAAUCCACUCAAUAGUAUUAAAGAACAAGGAAAAACCACUUUCGUAUCUCUUGACACCCUGCUCUUUCAUAAUGGACAGCAGGAGAUGCCAAUGCAAGUACUGCAGCAUGAAAAUGUCAGCUCCCAUUGGAGCACAAACCAUUUCCUGCCCAAGGUGCCAAUCUGUUACACAACUCCAACCUCCAAGAAAUAACAACGGCUUUGCCAAUGGGGUUAUUAACAAUGUUAUGACCGCAGUAAACACAGGGUUUUCAGCUAGGCCAGGAAGGAUGAAUCCAAAUGCCAAUAAUUCUCGGCCUCAACAGUUCAACAUGUCACCACAGAUUAGUAUGCGACCUCCAGCAGUGCAUGGACGAAAACGAGCAGUACUCUGUGGGAUUACCUACCGGGGGCAUUCCAAGAGUCUGAAAGGAAGCAUUAACGACGUUUUAUCCAUGAGAUAUCUUCUGGUUCAGAAGUUGGGUUUUCCCAAUGCAUCUGUACUUGUCCUUAC